UUUUUGCAUUCUUAGCUCUUAGAGUGUGCGGCUCUCUUUUAUUUUCAAGUUUCUACUCCGCUAGCCAGCACCUCGUCUUAAUAGGUGUGCGUUUCUUUUUCUUCUAGGUGAUUCUGAUCUAACCAUAAAUGUAUAUGUUGUGCCACUGGCCUUAGACAAUUUAGGUUCAAUAUGUAGCCUAGACGUGGCCUAGCCCUUUUAGGCUCACAUUAACUAGCUAGCUAGCUUACCUGGUUUACUGUUGCCCAUGCAAGGAUGUUAGGCUAGCAAGCGUUUUAGAUAGGUAGCCUAUGACAACAAAAACAUAAAGUGUACUGUUUGACAGAGCCAUAGACCGUUUUGCGAACAUGAAAGAGGAGGAUGGCAUUGGCGUUCACCGAGUCUACAAGUAUGGUGAGUCAACAUUUUGGCCGGUGGUUCCUGGUCCCCUAGCUGAUGUUGCCCCCCCACCCCCCGGAUAUUGAGGGGAGUCUGGCAUAUGCCAUCAGAUCCCUACUGGACUCCUGAUGUCAUGGGGGUCGUCUCCAGUACCUGGUGGACAACCCCUCAUCCUCGGGGUUGUCCAUCUGGUUGGAGUUAUCCUGCGGCGGGAGCCAUGCAUCAGGGGGGGUACUGUCAUGUCUACUCCCGCUCCUCCCAUCCGGCUUUUUGAUGUUGCCGGUAUAUUAAACACUGGUCCUGGGAUCCAUCAUUACGCACACCUGGCAUCCAUCAUUACCCGCACCUGCAGAUCAUUAUGAUACCCACCUGGACUCCAUUACCUUCCUGAUUAUCUCCCCUAUAUCUGUUACUCCCUUGGGUUCCUUCCUCAAUAUUGUUCUUGUGUUCAUGCGUAAACGCCACUGUGAUGUUGUCUUGUUUCAUGUUGUUUUAUUAAACGUUUCACCUGCACUUGC